GACAGAGGUCCCGAGCGUUAGGCGGAAUCACUGGGCUUAAAGCGUGUGUAGGCGGAUUGUAAGUACCUUGUGAAAUCCCACGGCUCAACCGUGGAACUGCUUGGUAUACUGCUUAUCUUGAGCCACCUAGGGCGAACCGGAACAAACGGUGGAGCGGUGAAAUGCGUAGAUAUCGAGAGGAACACAGUGGCGAAGGCGAGUCUCUGGACGACUCCUGACACUGAGGCAC
rnacentral:rRNA from 1 species